rnacentral:rRNA from 1 species
UGGGGAAUAUUGCGCAAUGGGGGGAACCCUGACGCAGCCAUGNCGCGUGAAUGAAGAAGGCCUUAGGGUUGUAAAGUUCUUUCGGUAUUGAGGAAGGUUGAUGUGUUAAUAGCACAUCAAAUUGACGUUAAAUACAGAAGAAGCACCGGCUAACUCCGUGCCAGCAGCCGCGGUAAUACGGAGGGUGCGAGCGUUAAUCGGAAUAACUGGGCGUAAAGGGCACGCAGGCGGUUAUUUAAGUGAGGUGUGAAAGCCCCGGGCUUAACCUGGGAAUUGCAUUUCAGACUGGGUAACUAGAGUACUUUAGGGAGGGGUAGAAUUCCACGUGUAGCGGUGAAAUGCGUAGAGAUGUGGAGGAAUACCGAAGGCGAAGCNAGCCCCUUGGGAAUGUACUGACGCUCAUGUGCGAAAGCGUGGGGGAGCAAACAGGAUUAGAUACCCUGGUAGUCCACGCUGUAAACGCUGUCGAUUUGGGGGUUGGGGUUUAACUCUGGCGCCCGUAGCUAACGUGAUAAAUCGACCGCCUGGGGAGUACGGCCGCAAGUU